rnacentral:rRNA from 1 species
UGGGGAAUCUUGCGCAAUGGGCGAAAGCCUGACGCAGCAACGCCGCGUGCGGGAAGACGGCCCUAUGGGUUGUAAACCGCUUUCGGUAGGGACGAAAAUGACGGUACCUACAGAAGAAGCUCCGGCCAACUACGUGCCAGCAGCCGCGGUAAGACGUAGGGGGCGAGCGUUGUCCGGAAUCAUUGGGCGUAAAGGGCUCCUAGGCGGUUCGGUAAGUCGACUGUGAAAACUCCAGGCUCAACCUGGAGAGGCCAGUCGAUACUGCUGUGACUCGAGUCCGGUAGAGGAGUGUGGAAUUUCUGGUGUAGCGGUGAAAUGCGCAGAUAUCAGAAGGAACACCAACGGCGAAGGCAGCACUCUGGGCCGGUACUGACGCUAAAGAGCGAAAGCGUGGGGAGCAAACAGGAUUAGAUACCCCCGUAGUCC